UACGUAGGUGGCAAGCGUUGUCCGGAAUCACUGGGCGUAAAGCGCGCGCAGGGCGGCGAUCUACGUCUGGGGUGAAAGCCCGGAGCUCAACUCCGGGACUGCCUUGGAUACGGGAUCGCUUGAGGAUUGGAGAGGCAAGGGGAAUUCCACGUGUAGCGGUGAAAUGCGUAGAGAUGUGGAGGAACACCUGUGGCGAAGGCGACACACUGGCCCGUUACUGACGCUGAGGCGCGAAAGCGUGGGGAGCAAACAGG
rnacentral:rRNA from 1 species